UCGCCUGCACGAAGUCGGAAUUGCUAGUAAUCGUAGGUCAGCAUACUACGGUGAAUACGUUCCCGGGCCUUGUACACACCGCCCGUCAAACCAUGAGAGUUGGCAACACCCGAAGUCGGUAGUCUAACCGCAAGGAGGACGCCGCCGGAGGUGGGGUUGAUGAUUAGGGUUAAGUCGUAACAAGGUAGC
rnacentral:rRNA from 1 species